rnacentral:rRNA from 1 species
UUAAGCGACUAAGCGUACACGGUGGAUGCCCUGGCAGUCAGAGGCGAUGAAGGACGUGCUAAUCUGCGAAAAGCGCCGGCGAGGUGAUAUGAACCCUUGACCCGGCGAUGUCCGAAUGGGGAAACCCAGUGCAAUCCGUUGCACUAUCGUUAACUGAAUACAUAGGUUAACGAGGCGAACCGGGGGAACUGAAACAUCUAAGUACCCCGAGGAAAAGAAAUCAACCGAGAUUCCCCCAGUAGCGGCGAGCGAACGGGGAGCAGCCCGGAGUCUGAAUCAGCUUGUGUGUUAGUGGAACGGUCUGGAAAGUCCGACGGUACAGGGUGAUAGUCCCGUACACGAAAAUGCACAUGCUGUGAACUCGAAGAGUAGGGCGGGACACGUGGUAUCCUGUCUGAAUAUGGGGGGACCAUCCUCCAAGGCUAAAUACUCCUGACUGACCGAUAGUGAACCAGUACCGUGAGGGAAAGGCGAAAAGAACCCCGGCGAGGGGAGUGAAAAAGAACCUGAAACCGUGUACGUACAAGCAGUGGGAGCCUCUUUAUGGGGUGACUGCGUACCUUUUGUAUAAUGGGUCAGCGACUUAUAUUCUGUAGCAAGGUUAACCGUAUAGGGGAGCCGAAGGGAAACCGAGUCUUAACUGGGCGUUAAGUUGCAGGGUAUAGACCCGAAACCCGGUGAUCUAGCCAUGGGCAGGUUGAAGGUUGGGUAACACUAACUGGAGGACCGAACCGACUAAUGUUGAAAAAUUAGCGGAUGACCUGUGGCUGGGGGUGAAAGGCCAAUCAAACCGGGAGAUAGCUGGUUCUCCCCGAAAGCUAUUUAGGUAGCGCCUCGUGAACUCAUCUUCGGGGGUAGAGCACUGUUUCGGCUAGGGGGCCAUCCCGGCUUACCAACCCGAUGCAAACUACGAAUACCGAAGAAUGUUAUCACGGGAGACACACGGCGGGUGCUAACGUCCGUCGUGAAGAGGGAAACAACCCAGACCGCCAGCUAAGGUCCCAAAGUCAUGGUUAAGUGGGAAACGAUGUGGGAAGGCACAGACAGCCAGGAUGUUGGCUUAGAAGCAGCCAUCAUUUAAAGAAAGCGUAAUAGCUCACUGGUCGAGUCGGCCUGCGCGGAAGAUGUAACGGGGCUAAACCAUGCACCGAAGCUGCGGCAGCGACACUAUGUGUUGUUGGGUAGGGGAGCGUUCUGUAAGCCGUUGAAGGUGUGCUGUGAGGCAUGCUGGAGGUAUCAGAAGUGCGAAUGCUGACAUAAGUAACGAUAAAGCGGGUGAAAAGCCCGCUCGCCGGAAGACCAAGGGUUCCUGUCCAACGUUAAUCGGGGCAGGGUGAGUCGACCCCUAAGGCGAGGCCGAAAGGCGUAGUCGAUGGGAAACAGGUUAAUAUUCCUGUACUUGGUGUUACUGCGAAGGGGGGACGGAGAAGGCUAUGUCAGCCGGGCGACGGUUGUCCCGGUUUAAGCAUGUAGGCGGAGGUUCCAGGUAAAUCCGGUACCUUGUUAACGCUGAGGUGUGAUGACGAGGCACUACGGUGCUGAAGUGAUAAAUGCCCUGCUUCCAGGAAAAGCCUCUAAGCAUCAGGUAACACGAAAUCGUACCCCAAACCGACACAGGUGGUCAGGUAGAGAAUACCAAGGCGCUUGAGAGAACUCGGGUGAAGGAACUAGGCAAAAUGGUGCCGUAACUUCGGGAGAAGGCACGCUGAUGUGUAGGUGAAGCCCCUGCGGGCGGAGCUGAAAUCAGUCGAAGAUACCAGCUGGCUGCAACUGUUUAUUAAAAACACAGCACUGUGCAAACACGAAAGUGGACGUAUACGGUGUGACGCCUGCCCGGUGCCGGAAGGUUAAUUGAUGGGGUUAGCGGCAACGCGAAGCUCUUGAUCGAAGCCCCGGUAAACGGCGGCCGUAACUAUAACGGUCCUAAGGUAGCGAAAUUCCUUGUCGGGUAAGUUCCGACCUGCACGAAUGGCGUAAUGAUGGCCAGGCUGUCUCCACCCGAGACUCAGUGAAAUUGAACUCGCUGUGAAGAUGCAGUGUACCCGCGGCAAGACGGAAAGACCCCGUGAACCUUUACUAUAGCUUGACACUGAACACUGGUCCUUGAUGUGUAGGAUAGGUGGGAGGCUUUGAAGCGUGGACGCCAGUCUGCGUGGAGCCAACCUUGAAAUACCACCCUUUAAUGGCUGGUGUUCUAACGUGGACCCGUAAUCCGGGUUGCGGACAGUGUCUGGUGGGUAGUUUGACUGGGGCGGUCUCCUCCCAAAGAGUAACGGAGGAGCACGAAGGUUGGCUAAUCCUGGUCGGACAUCAGGAGGUUAGUGCAAUG